GGCGGGUUGCCCGAGCGGCCAAUGGGAGCGGACUGUAAAUCCGUCGGCGUAGCCUUCGAAGGUUCGAAUCCUUCACCCGCCA
rnacentral:tRNA from 2 species